UUCAUACAUGCAAACAGCAUGCAAAUAUCUCUCCUCUGAUUGGCUAGGAGCACUGCGACGCCCCUCCGCCGCUCUGCCGCUCACUGCCUCCCACCUCCUAACUGAUGAGCGGUGAUGUUGCGUCGCUUCAGCUCCGCCUCUGGGAGUUUCUCGAGCCAAGGUGGGCUGGUCUGUGAGUUUCUGCCUACGUAGGCAGAAAGAUAAUUCAAAAUUCACCCGUUUUUCGGAGGGGGGGAGGGGGGAUUUCUUUGCUUAGUUCCUGCAGACAAUGGGGGCUGCAAAACAGUGUACACAUUCAACUCGGAGAGACCUACUGUAUUCCACAAAAAACAAGAAAAAUCGGAUUUUCGCGGAAGGUGAGCUUUAAAUAUAAA